UUCACGGAGAGUUUGAUCCUGGCUCAGGACGAACGCUGGCGGCGCGCUUAACACAUGCAAGUCGAGCGAGAACCAGGGCUUCGGCCCUGGGGACAGCGGCGAACGGGUGAGUAACACGUGGAUAAUCCACCCUCGGCACCGGAAUAGCCCGGGGAAACCCGGAUUAAUGCCGGAUGGCCCGUCGACCCUUCGGGGGUUGACGGAAAAGGUAGCUUCGGCCUCCGGCCGAGGACGAGUCCGCGGCGGAUUAGCUUGUUGGCGGGGUAACGGCCCACCAAGGCU
rnacentral:rRNA from 1 species